AGUGAACGCUGGCGGUAGGCCUAACACAUGCAAGUCGAACGGCAGCACAGUAAGAGCUUGCUCUUACGGGUGGCGAGUGGCGGACGGGUGAGGAAUACAUCGGAAUCUACUUUUUCGUGGGGGAUAACGUAGGGAAACUUACGCUAAUACCGCAUACGACCUACGGGUGGAAGCAGGGGAUCUUCGGACCUUGCGCGAUUGAAUGAGCCGAUGUCGGAUUAGCUAGUUGGCGGGGUAAAGGCCCACCAAGGCGACGAUCCGUAGCUGGUCUGAGAGGAUGAUCAGCCACACUGGAACUGAGACACGGUCCAGACUCCUACGGGAGGCAGCAGUGGGGAAUAUUGGACAAUGGGCGCAAGCCUGAUCCAGCCAUACCGCGUGGGUGAAGAAGGCCUUCGGGUUGUAAAGCCCUUUUGUUGGGAAAGAGAAGCAGCAGGUUAAUACCCCGCUGUUCUGACGGUACCCAAAGAAUAAGCACCGGCUAACUUCGUG
rnacentral:rRNA from 1 species